AUGACUGAGAGCUGCUGCUCAGCAACUUCACCCACAGCAACCAUGACUUUGAUCAGCAUCUUCAUCUGCACACUGGCCCUCUGGACUCAAGGAUCCAGAGGUCAGGUGACUGUGACUCAGACUCCUUCAGUGCAAACUGUUGAUCCAGGAAACACAGUCACCUUCAACUGUAGAACCAGUAGCAGCGUGUAUAAUGAUGAUACUCUUCACUGGUACCUGCAGAAACCUGGAGAAGCUCCUAAACUCCUGAUCAAAUAUGCUACUAGCUUACAGUCAGGAACUCCAGCUCGUUUCAGUGGCAGUGGAUCUAAUACUGACUUCACUCUGACCAUCAGAGGAGUCCAGACUGAAGAUGCAGGAGAUUACUACUGUCAGAGUCUCCAUGUGAUCAGUGGUAGCUGGCCGUUCACACAGUGUUAGAGCGCCGUACAAAAACCUCGGUCAGUGAGAGUGCACAGAGAAGCACUGCUGCAGCUGGGAGCGACUGCAGGUGCUGAGGGGGAGGAUGUGAUACAGCACAAUGACACACACUGUGGACGAGAGAAAACACACCACACUAACUCACUAAUGCACACACACAUCUGUGAGAGGAGUCCACCUUUCUCAGCUGUGGACAUACAAACUAUUCCUCAUCAUUCUCUUUCACUGCUUAGUAAUUAUCUUUAUCCUCAUUUAGAAACUUUAGAUAGUAUUUAUUAUCUUUAUGUUUUGUUACCAAAAGAGUUCUUUAUGGUUAAUAUCAAACACUAUUAUAGAUUUAAUAUUUUAUUAUAUAAUCUUUAAUAUUCAUUAAAUAGAUUCACAUUAUAGAGCUGAGACUGACAUUUAACUGAACCUUUCUGUAAUUAUUAAUAAACCCUUAGAUAAUGAUUUUCUGUAUAAAGUCAUCAAAAACAAAAUAAAUCAGCAGCACGGUCAACAACCUGAGCCCUACAACAACCAUGCAGAAAGUCUGACCAAUCCCACAAGGUGUUGCAGAAAGUCUGAAUAAUCCCACUUGCUCCUGAUCAAACUCUGACCAAUCCCGCCCCACCCAGUCUCACAGUACAAACGUUUGCAUGUAACUUAUCUGUAGCUCCUUCUACAUGUUGAAUAUCAAUGUUCUGGCACAGGAAUAUGUGUAUUUCAGAAUCAAACCAUACAAAACAAAGAAAGAGAGGAAGGGACUGGAAGAAAAGUUCAGUGAGCAGGAGAAGUUUAAAUCAGUGGCGUGAGGAGAGGAGGAGUGGAGCUGUAGAAGACAGGAGGAGGAGAGAGGAAUAACAUCUUAUAUGAUAGUGAGGGCGUGGAAUGUCCAAAACGUCCUACAGAGGAGGGUCGAGGGCCGUGAUUAA